rnacentral:rRNA from 1 species
GAUGAACGCUAGCGGCAGGCCUAAUACAUGCAAGUCGAACGGUGUCUUCGGACAUAGCGGCGCACGGGUGCGUAACACGUAUGCAACCUACCUUACAUUGGGGGAUAGCCUUUCGAAAGGGAGAUUAAUACCGCAUAAGACAGUAGCUGGGCAUCCAGCAGCUGUUAAAGAUUUAUCGAUGUAAGCUGGGCAUGCGUCCAAUUAGCUCGUUGGUGAGGUAACGGCUCACCAAGGCAAUGAUUGGUAGGGGAACUGAGAGGUCAAUCCCCCACACUGGCACUGAGAUACGGGCCAGACUCCUACGGGAGGCAGCAGUAGGGAAUAUUGGGCAAUGGACGCAAGUCUGACCCAGCCAUGCCGCGUGCAGGAUGAAGGCGUUAUGCGUUGUAAACUGCUUUUAUACAGGAAGAAACGACUCUUGCGAGAGGCAUUGACGGUACUGUAUGAAUAAGCACCGGCUAACUCCGUGCCAGCCGCCGCAGUAAUAC